rnacentral:rRNA from 1 species
UGGUCAAUGGACGCAAGUCUGAGGCAGCAACGCCGCGUGGGCGAUGAAGGCCUUCGGGUUGUAAAGCCCUUUUCUGGGGGAAGAGGAAGGACGGUACCUCAGGAAUAAGUCACGGCUAACUACGUGCCAGCAGCCGCGGUAAUACGUAGGUGGCAAGCGUUAUCCGGAUUCACUGGGCGUAAAGCGCGUGCAGGCGGUUUCGUAAGUCGGACGUGAAAGCUCCUGGCUUAACUGGGAGAGGUCGUUCGAUACUGCGGGGCUUGAGGUCGGGAGAGGGACGUGGAAUUCCCGGUGUAGUGGUGGAAUGCGUAGAUAUCGGGAGGAACACCAGUGGCGAAGGCGACGUCCUGGCCCGCACCUGACGCUGAGACGCGAAAGCGUGGGUAGCGAACGGGAUUAGAUACCCCGGUAGUCCACGCUGUAAACGGUGGGUACUAGGUGUUGGUGGCUAUCGUCAUCAGUGCCGUAGCUAACGCGUUAAGUACCCCGCCUGGGGACUACGGCCGCAAGGCUAAAACUCAAAUGAAUUGACGGAA